CACCACCAGCAAAGAGCAAAACAUCUCUGUAUUUUCUGUUUUUAUAGAUGUUUGUGUGUAUGAAGGCUCAAGACUGUGUGUAACUGACUCUCUGUGUUGUAGGAGCUCCAAGUGAACUGGCUGGGGUGACAGGGCCACUCUACACCACAGAGUAGAUUCAUUCUAACAGCGAGAGAUCAGUGUGGAUCUGUUACAGGCUAAAAGUGGAAAGUAGUGUGGAGUUACACACCACGUCCAAGUCACAGUCUGUUCCCAGCUGCUGCUACUCCAUUUCUCUGGCCCACAAUGCAGUGCUGCAGGCGUCCUCAAUCACUGAGGCAUAUGAUGUGAGUGGACACCACUCAGGCAGAGAAACAGCCCUCAAAGUGUCUGCCUUGUACUCCUCCGUACUACAACCACUAUACACUCAACCACAGCCUACCUGCUCCUAUGAGUGUCAGUAUUGCUAAAUAAAUUCACUCAGACCUGACUGUUCCCCUCACUUCUUCACAAAAGCUAAAACACACACCCAUCCCACUUGACAACAUAAGAAUACUCAACCUUGCUCCUCGCACUCUUGUCGUAAAAUGUUCCUCACUAGUGCAGCAAAGCCAGUAACUUGUUUUUUUGUCCCACCUGGACUGUUCCCCUCACACUCCAAAUUUCAGUAUUAGUACAUGAUUGAUAUAUUUAUCAUAACAACAUAAUUGCCACUGUUCCUUUUGUCAGCAGUGUACUUGAUUGCCUAACACAUGGGUCUACAUCUGUAACAAAAUUUAGAAACAAGCAUGCCACACUUCAGCUGUACUGAGGAAGCACAAAAUAAGUCACACGUGAGAUAUAUUUAUGUUAAUAAGUUAGAUGUGGUUAUAAAGUUUGAGGGCACAAGGUUCACUCAAAAAGGUGUGUAAACCCUGGACAACAACAAUAACACGUGAUCAAGUCAUAUUUAAAGGAAUAAUUCACACAGAAAUGAAAAUCAUUUAUCAUCACGCUCAUGUCGUUUCAAAUCUGUACGACCCUCAUUGUUACCAGGAACAAAAAGGAGAAAUUUGGGAGAUAGUGAAUAAGGACUGGGGACAAAAAGUGAACAAAAGCACCAUAAAAGUGGUUCUUUUGGAAUUCAACUCUUAUUGCAUUGUGAGUGAAUUAGCUCUAGUCCAAAUCUAGCUCAAGUCAAAUGAACCACUUUUGUGGUGGUUUUGCAUCCUUUUUGAAGCUUGAAAUCUCCUGUCUUCCCAUCCUCUUUCAUUGUAAUGGCAUGGAAAACAACUUAAAAUCUGUAAAAUUUCUCCUUUUGUGUUCCACAGAAGAAAAAAAGGUCAUAUAGGUUUUAAAGAAAUGUGGCUGAGUAAAUACUGAGAGUAUUGUCAUUUUUGAGUGAACUUUCCUUUAAAGACACAGGCUCAUGCACGCAGACACAGCACACAAUUCUUUUGUUUUUGUGCCCACACCACACAGUUCUUAAAGAGACAGCACUGAUGUUUUGAGGCAUUUAGUCACUGUCACUUUAAGAGCAGGCCGUUUGCAAAGAUCCUCACCCUGUUUUUGUUUACCUGGGCCUUCAGAUACUGUUACCUCUACCCGCGAAUCUAGCUUAGCCUCCUUACGGUCCGUCGCCAUGGUUACGACGGGCUUUGUCUGCAGCAAGGGUAGAGGGGGGAUAAGUGUGAACACAAAGUGGGAGGAAGCCUCGGGAGCAGUUUCUCUGCUUUCCUCUACUCGAACGCACAAAUCUCCAGGGUGAAUUAGAGGAACAUGCCCCCAAACCGAGGUCAGCAGUGGGAACCUCUGAGGCUGUUUCCUGUCUUAAAAAUGGACAUUAUAGCUUUUAAAUGGCAGGCCCAAAAAUGUAAAAUUCAAAGAGGAGUAAAGUAGCUUGUGUGUCUAGCUGUAAAUGUUGUGUAUUUAAAGAACAUUUCUCCUUGUUUCUUUACGCUGUUUUUUAUGUGCUAA
ensembl:lncRNA